rnacentral:rRNA from 1 species
AGAUCGCAGUCUGCAACCCGACUGCGUGAAGUCGGAAUCGCUAGUAAUCGCGGAUCAGCAAGCCGCGGUGAAUACGUUCCCGGGCCUUGUACACACCGCCCGUCACACCAUGAGAGUCGGGAACACCCGAAGUCCGUAGUCUAACCGCAAGGGGGGCGCGGCCGAAGGUGGGUCCGGUAAUUGGGGUGAAGUCGUAACAAGGUACC